UACAGAGGUCCCAAGCGUUGUUCGGAUUCACUGGGCGUAAAGAGCUCGUAGGCGGUCUGUCACGUCGGCUGUGAAAUCCCGAGGCUCAACCUCGGGUCUGCAGUCGAUACGGGCAAACUAGAGUAUUGCAGGGGAGACUGGAAUUCCUGGUGUAGCGGUGAAAUGCGCAGAUAUCAGGAGGAACACCUGUGGCGAAAGCGGCUCACUGGACCAUAACUGACGCUGAUGCACGAAAGCUAGGGGAGCAAACAGG
rnacentral:rRNA from 1 species